AAAAAACAUAAUAAUUAACUCAUAUAUACCUUGAAUAUGGCAAGGAGUAUCUACCAGAAACCAAUAUGAAAAUUUCUGACUAUGAGUAAAAUAUGCU
rnacentral:ncRNA from 1 species